rnacentral:lncRNA from 1 species
UGGAUUUCCAAGCCAUCCCACCUGGAUCUGCUCCCAGAUUGCUGCAGGUCUCCCACAUCCUCCUCCUGCAAAGCCCUGGCAGCUCCAUGGAUUCAAUCUCCCAUCUCUUUCACAUCCAGGAGCAAAGUAUCCAGGCAUCCUUGGCACGUGGUCCUUCCCUGUGGUGGGUGCAGGUCUGGGGGGUGGCACCAGGACAGAUCCUCCUGUUAAACCACUCUGCUGUUGCAAUGCUGAGACGUUAUUGCAGACAGAGUGACCGGGCCUGAGCAUUCCAAACGUCUGGCUAAUGAGGAAUGAAACUGGUUCCCAACAGGAGAAUGAAGGCACUGGAGGGAAUUAGAUCCGAGGAAAAGAAGAAAUCCUGGAGUGUGUGGCUGGAGUCUGUGACCAAUGUGUGACUGCACUGAUUUUAUCCAUCUGAUAUACAGGUUAAUAAUUCUUUUUUUAUAAAAAAUGGAAAUUAAAUUAAUAAUAUUCCAAGUUCUCUUUGGGAAUAAAUAAAUUUCCCUCUGUCCCA